rnacentral:rRNA from 1 species
UAAAUUUAUUCUUACUUUAAAUUUGUAUUUUGAGAAAUAUCUUUAAAUUUAGUAUGUUUAUAGAAAAGUUAUGAUUUGUUAUAGUUAAUUAGUAUCGUGAGAGAAAUGGAUGAAAUAAUUAUGAAAAUAUAAUUUAAAUAAAGCAGAUUUUAUUUAUUGUACCUUUUGUAUCAGGGUUGAUUAAAAGAUUUAUAAUUAUAUUUAUAUAUUCUCGAUUUCAGAAGAGCUAAUUUCUUAAUUUAGUUAAUGUUUCAUAAUUAUUAGGGAUAAGUUUUAGCGGGGAAAUCUCAUUCGUUUAUAAGGGUAUCUAGUUUUUCAAGAAAUAAAUUUAAUUUAAUCUUAAAUUUUAAUUUUUUUAUUUUUAAUUAAUUAUUAUUUAAGUUAAAAAUUAUAGGGGAUAAUCUCUAUAUUGAAUUAUAUAUAAAGUUUAAUUUGGUUGUAGUAGGGUUAGAAAUAUCCAUCUUUUAUAAGUAUGUUAUAAUUUAUGCUAGUUUGAAUAGAUUUAUUUUAUAUUAAUAUUUUAUUGAAAUAUCAGAUUUAAUUAUUAUUUCUGAGUAAUAAUGAUUGAAUUAGUAUAAUGUUAUGUAUUUUAUAAUUAAAUGGUAAGGAUUAAAUAAGGAACUCGGCAAAUAUAGCAUUCGCCUGUUUAACAAAAACAUGUCUUCUUGAAUGUAUAGGAAGUCUGACCUGCCCGGUGAAUAAGUAUUUAACGGCCGCGGUAUUUUGACCGUGCAAAGGUAGCAUAAUCAUUAGUCUUUUAAUAGAGGGCUGGAAUGAAGGGUUUGACGAAAUGCUUACUGUCUCAUUUAAUUUGAAAUUUGAAUUUGACUUUUUAGUUAAAAGGCUAAAUUGUUGUUGGAAGACGAGAAGACCCUAUAGAGCUUUAUAUUUUAAAAUUUAAAAGAUUUUUGUUUAAUUAUUAUUUUUUAAAUGGAAAAAUAUUUUGUUGGGGUGACAAAAAUAUAGAAUAAACUUUUUUAUUUAUUUAACAUUGAUAUAUGAAUAUUAGAUCCAUUAUUAUUGAUUGUUAGAGAAAGUUACCUUAGGGAUAACAGCGUAAUCUUCCUCCAGAGUUCAAAUUUACAGGAAGGCUUGCGACCUCGAUGUUGGAUUAAGAUAAUAAUUAGGUGCAGCCGCUUAAUUAAUAGGCUGUUCGACCUUUAAAUUCUUACAU